rnacentral:lncRNA from 1 species
CCAUGUUAUUUGAAAUCUUCAUUUUGGGCGGGUAUGUCAACCACACAGAGGAAUGAGGGUAUUAAUGUAUUUUUCGAUGGGUAUGUUCAUUCGAAAACAUCCCUAAAGCAAUUUGUGGAGCAGUAUGAGCGUGCGUUGCGAAGUAAAAUUGAGAAAGAGUUUCAAGCUGACUUCAGAUCAUUUUCACAGAUGGUCCCAUGUGCAACAAGGUACGAAAUGGAGAAACAAUUCCAAUCGAUUUACACAAUCGCAAAGUUCAAGGAAUUCCAGGAGCAGUUCACCGGAAAGGUAUAUUGUGAAGUAGUAUGCGCUCAUGAUUCGUACAUGCAUACUAUAUAUGACGUACAUGAAGACAUUAUUUUGAAUGACUGUAUGAAGACCUGUAUUUUUAAAGUACAGCUGCGUAAGGAUGAGUGUGAUUUCGAGUGCAGCUAUCACUUAUUUGAGUUCAGAGGAAUAGUUUGCAAGCACAUGAUUGCAGUUUUGAUACGCAAUCAGGUGAAAUUAGUUCCCGAGAAGUACAUAUUGCAUAGAUGGGGGAAAGAUGUCAACAGACCAUACAUAAGGGUUCCAAUCAACUGCGACGGUUGGAUUAGCACUCCGGACCAGGUUAGAUAUGAGGAAUUGUGCAGUGCAUUUACGAAAUUAGCUGACUUAGUAGCACACGACCAAUCUCGAUCCCAAGGAGUUAUGGAGUGGAUUGAAUUUCAAACAGUAGAGGCAUUGACAUUGAAUCCUACAAUGAUGAGCUCCCAAAGCUUUGAUGAAUCAGGAAAGUGAGGUGGCGAAAUCAUCUUCGACCCGAAAUAUACAAAGAGCAAGGGAGCUCCAAAAAAAACUUCAUCAGAAGGGACAUCUAGAAAGUAGUUCGAAGACAAAACGAUGUUAUCGUAAGGUAUAAAAACUUCAUGCCUUUUAUUAUUUUCUUCUCAUUUGUUCAGUAUUUCUACACAUAUUGAAUCAUAAUGUUGCUUCCCAAGUUUUGUAGGUGGUAUCGAACUCAAGUACAUCGAAAACAAUACUAAACAAUGAUACAUCGCCUCCAACCAAUGACCAGGUAACUGUU